rnacentral:pre_miRNA from 1 species
AGUGGGAUAGCUGGGUCAAAUUAUGGUUCCAUUUCAAGUUUUCUAAGGAAUCUCCAUACUGCUUUUCAGAGUGGUUGCACUAAUUUACAGUCCCAUCAGCAAU